rnacentral:tRNA from 1 species
AUUUUUUUAGUAUUAGUUAGUAUAGCUGACUUCCAAUCAGCAGGACUUGGUAGACCCCAAGAAAAAAUA